AGUAACGCGUGGAUAACCUGCCUCACACAGGGGGAUAACAGUUGGAAACGACUGCUAAUACCGCAUAAGCGCACGGCACCGCAUGGUGCAGUGUGAAAAACUCCGGUGGUGUGAGAUGGAUCCGCGUCUGAUUAGCUUGUUGGCGGGUAACGGCCCACCAAGGCGACGAUCAGUAGCCGGCCUGAGAGGGCGACCGGCCACAUUGGGACUGAGACACGGCCCAG
rnacentral:rRNA from 1 species